GUUGCGAAUGUGGUUAACGAAAUUUUUGAACGUGGCUGAUGCAAUCGGCUGUAUUUAUAUCUGCUAUUCCUUUUUGCAUCCUCAACUUCAGCAUUUUUAUCUAUUACAUCACGGCAUUUUUCAUUACUUAUUACGCUCAUCAUAGCUCAACAUAUAUUAUUAUACCUCAUGGUCCUAUCGUCCCAUAUCUUCGGAGGGAUUAAGAAGAGAAGUGUAAUGUCAAGAGCUGCGUUCAGUUUCACGUAUUAUGCGCAUCAUACGUGGAACAAAACGCAGCUAAAUUGUUAAGCUGCUGCAAUGCAAUAUUGUAUCUGUUGAUUGUGUGGAUCGGUGCAAACCUCAAAGAGAGGUAGAUAGCUUUUUUGGAGAUUUUAAAUAUGAUAUAGUUACGAAA